AUUGAACGCUGGCGGCAGGCCUAACACAUGCAAGUCGAGCGGAUGAAGGGAGCUUGCUCCUGGAUUCAGCGGCGGACGGGUGAGUAAUGCCUAGGAAUCUGCCUGGUAGUGGGGGAUAACGUCCGUAAACGGGCGCUAAUACCGCAUACGUCCUGAGGGAGAAAGUGGGGGAUCUUCGGACCUCACGCUAUCAGAUGAGCCUAGGUCGGAUUAGCUAGUUGGUGGGGUAAAGGCCUACCAAGGCGACGAUCCGUAACUGGUCUGAGAGGAUGAUCAGUCACACUGGAACUGAGACACGGUCCAGACUCCUACGGGAGGCAGCAGUGGGGAAUAUUGGACAAUGGGCGAAAGCCUGAUCCAGCCAUGCCGCGUGUGUGCAGAAGGUCUUCGGAUUGUAAAGCACUUUAAGUUGGGAGGAAGGGCAGUAAGUUAAUACCUUGCUGUUUUGACGUUACCAACAGAAUAAGCACCGGCUAACUUCGUG
rnacentral:rRNA from 1 species